UAAGCAGCCCCAGGAAAGGCAGGGGCCCUAAGCUUGCCCAACUGGGCAGAGGGAUCCUCCUCCUGUCAUCACUGGACCAAAAGCCCUCUGUGUCUCUGGCUGCCAGCACCUCCAAAUAAACUGAGCGAACUUGCUUAUAAUAGCAGGAAGAAAAAGGCUGAGGCUCAGCCAAAGGCAUCCCAGACUCCUGUGCUGCCACGAACAAGCCAACAACCAUCUGAAGAGAGGCUGGAGCUGGUUUCCACAUUGCUUUGUUUAUAUUGACUGCAUUUAUGAUGCCUCAGAAGUUGCCAGUAAAAUAUUUAUUUAGCAGUUAAAACGCUCUGCAAAUGAUUUUGCCGUCCCGAAAGAUAAAUAUCUCUGGGCAGGCUGCAGUGAUACAUUGGUGUUUUGGUGGAGGAAAUUGCAUGUUGAUAAAACUUGCUCAGAUUGCACUUUGCCUUUCCUUUUGGAUUUGAAGUGGCCACAUUAAUAUUUUUUGUGUCCCCCCCCCUUUGGUGAUAUUUAUUGUAAUUGUAACUUGUGCCGAGGUUGGAAACAUUAAACUCACCAGGAAGGCAAACACA